GACGAACGCUGGCGGCGUGCUUAACACAUGCAAGUCGAACGAAGAGCGAUGGAAGCUUGCUUCUAUCAAUCUUAGUGGCGAACGGGUGAGUAACGCGUAAUCAACCUGCCCUUCAGAGGGGGACAACAGUUGGAAACGACUGCUAAUACCGCAUACGAUCUAAUCUCGGCAUCGAGGAUAGAUGAAAGGUGGCCUCUACAUGUAAGCUAUCACUGAAGGAGGGGAUUGCGUCUGAUUAGCUAGUUGGAGGGGUAACGGCCCACCAAGGCGAUGAUCAGUAGCCGGUUUGAGAGGAUGAACGGCCACAUUGGGACUGAGACACGGCCCAGACUCCUACGGGAGGCAGCAGUGGGGAAUCUUCCGCAAUGGACGAAAGUCUGACGGAGCAACGCCGCGUGAGUGAUGACGGCCUUCGGGUUGUAAAGCUCUGUUAAUCGGGACGAAAGGCCUUCUUGCGAAUAGUGAGAAGGAUUGACGGUACCGGAAUAGAAAGCCACGGCUAACUACGUG
rnacentral:rRNA from 1 species